GUAAUGGCUCACCAAGGCGAUGACGGGUAGCUGGUGUAAGAGCGCGACCAGCCACACUGGGACUGAGACACGGCCCAGACUCCUACGGGAGGCAGCAGUGGGGAAUAUUGCGCAAUGGGCGAAAGCCUGACGCAGCGACGCCGCGUGGGGGAGGAAGGCCUCAGGGUUGUAAACCCCUGUCAGGUGGGACGAACCCCGAGUCGGCUAACAUCCGGCUCGACUGACGGUACCACCAGAGGAAGCUCCGGCUAACUCCGUGCCAGCAGCCGCGGUAAUACGGAGGGAGCAAGCGUUGUUCGGAAUUACUGGGCGUAAAGGGCGCGUAGGCGGUCACGUAAGUCGGAUGUGAAAUUCCGGGGCUCAACCCCGUGAACUGCACUCGAUACUGCAUGACUAGAGAGAGGUAGGGGCAAGUGGAAUUCCCGGUGUAGCGGUGGAAUGCGUAGAUAUCGGGAAGAACACCCGUGGCGAAGGCGGCUUGCUGGACCUUUUCUGACGCUGAAGCGCGAAAGCGUGGGGAGCAAACAGGAUUAGAUACCCUAGUAGUCCACGCC
rnacentral:rRNA from 1 species